AUUGAACGCUGGCGGCAGGCCUAACACAUGCAAGUCGAACGAGUGGCGGACGUGUGAGUAAUGUCUGGGAAACUGCCUGGUGGAGGGGGAUAACCACUGGAAACGGUAGCUAAUACCACAUACCAUCGGAUGUGCCCAGAUGGGAUUAGCUAGUAGGUGGGGUAAAGUCGCACCUAGGCGACGAUCCCUAGCUGGUCUGAGAGGAUGACCAGCUACGCUCGAACUGCGCCACGGUCCAGACUCCUACGGGAGGCACCAGUGGGGAAUCUUGCACAAUUGGCGCCAGCCUGCUGCAGCCAUGCCGCGUGUAUGCAGAAGGCCUUCGGGUUGUAAAGUACUUUCAGCGGGGAGGCGUUACCCGCAGAAGAAGCACCGGCUAACUCCGUGCCAGCCGCCGCGGUAAUUC
rnacentral:rRNA from 1 species